UACAGAGACUGCAAGCGUUAUUCGGAUUCACUGGGCGUAAAGGGUGCGCAGGCGGCCAAGUGUGUUAGGCGUGAAAGCCCGGGGCUUAACCCCGGAAUUGCACCUAAAACUACAUGGCUAGAGCAUUGGAGAGGGUAGCGGAAUUCACGGUGUAGCAGUGAAAAUGCGUAGAUAUCGUGAGGAACACCAGAGGCGAAGGCGGCUACCUGGGACAAAUUGCUGACGCUCAGGCACGAAAAGCC
rnacentral:rRNA from 1 species